AUUUGGCUUGCAAACUCUCUCGAAGUGUAAGCUGUGUUUCUUGGCAUUUUGCGUAGUGCUUAGACUUAGCAUUUACAUUUUGGUUUCAGCUGGUUUUGGAUCGAGUCUUCGUGUGAGUGUGUAAGAGAAUUUGCUGUGUCUGCUCUGAGCACUGGAAUUAUACUUCCAGGAGACGUCUACUUGGAUUUUUCGAACAACGAGCAAGUACACGAUGAGCAUGCCUUCUCUCAGUUCGGAUUGUUAGCCAAUAAAAAAUCUGCAACAUGGACUGCUUCCGCGUGCCUAAAGUUGUCAAUAGAAACGUGCUGAAGGCCAUUUAUUUUUUUUCGGAAUGCAUUUUGUUGGACUCCAUACCUUUGUCUUCCAUUAAGCUGGAGGUGGCCUACACAAUUCGCAACGCCAAUCCGGUUCAAGAUUUGGACUCCGCAAUUGAGUCGUCGCUGAAGAACUUUAGCUUAAUUGGCAUCCUAAAAGAGACAAUCACGGCCAGCGAUGAAAAGUCGUAUGAGCUGCUGUUGAAGCCUUCAAUCAAGACUUAAAAUCUCUGGGACGAUGUGCCGAGAGGGAGACCCUACUUGAAGGGUCCUCAAGUAAUUUUUGUUUUCAUUUUUUGGGAAGCUUUCGAAGGCAGCAUUUCACAUGACAAAGAGGGAGAAGACUUUGGAGAUCAACCAUACCGUUAUCAUUUGAAACUGUUGCUAAA